AGCAGCCGCGGUAAUUCCAGCUCCAAUAGCGUAUAUUAAAGUUGUUGCAGUUAAAAAGCUCGUAGUUGAACUUCGGGGUCUACCCAUUGGUCAGGCUUAAUUGUCUGCACUGGCGAGAUGGAUCUCUACCUUCUGAGGAACUUUCAUGCCAUUUAUUUGGUGUGAUGGGAAAUCAGGACUGUUACUUUGAAAAAUUAGAGUGUUUAAAGCAGACUAUCGUCUGAAUACAUUAGCAUGGAAUAAUGAAAUAGGACGGACUGAUUCUAUUUCGUUGGUUUCUAGGAUCACCGUAAUGAUUAAUAGGGAUAGUUGGGGGCAUUAGUAUUCAAUUGUCAGAGGUGAAAUUCUUGGAUUUAUUGAAGACUAACUACUGCGAAAGCAUUUGCCAAGGAUGUUUUCAUUAAUCAAGAACGAAAGUUAGGGGAUCGAAGACGAUCAGAUACCGUCGUA
rnacentral:rRNA from 1 species